rnacentral:rRNA from 1 species
GACGAACGCUGGCGGCGUGCUUAACACAUGCAAGUCGAACGAAGAGCGAUGGAAGCUUGCUUCUAUCAAUCUUAGUGGCGAACGGGUGAGUAACGCGUAAUCAACCUGCCCUUCAGAGGGGGACAACAGUUGGAAACGACUGCUAAUACCGCAUACGAUCCAACCUCGGCAUCGAGGAUGGAUGAAAGGUGGCCUCUAUUUAUAAGCUAUCACUGAAGGAGGGGAUUGCGUCUGAUUAGCUAGUUGGAGGGGUAACGGCCCACCAAGGCAAUGAUCAGUAGCCGGUCUGAGAGGAUGAACGGCCACAUUGGGACUGAGACACGGCCCAGACUCCUACGGGAGGCAGCAGUGGGGAAUCUUCCGCAAUGGACGAAAGUCUGACGGAGCAACGCCGCGUGAGUGGUGACGGCCUUCGGGUUGUAAAGCUCUGUUAAUCGGGACGAAAGGUCCUCUUGCGAAUAGUUAGAGGAAUUGACGGUACCGGAAUAGAAAGCCACGGCUAACUACGUGC